GGGAGAGGAUAAGUGUAACUAAACCCAUCUACAUACACAGAGACCUAACCUGCAGAGACAGGGUGACACCCCAGUCUAAAUAACCCAAACCCUGCCAACCAAACUGAGGGGCAGAUGAAGAACUGAUCAGAAAACACUCAUUAAGGAAAUGAAGUUUGCAGCUGUAAUUCUUGUCUGGAGAGCUUACCUUCAACCAUAUCCUGUUCAAAUGACUCCAGAGGAACACCAUCAGCCCCAGCACCAAGACUGAGGGGCAACCCAUUAGAGUCUGCAUUCUUGUUGGCUGCAGCAGAAUCUUAAGAAAAGGAUUCAGGACAGCUUCAAGAGCCAAGGAAAUAAAAGGAGACAUUUCUUCAGAUUUCUGAAACAAAGGUAGACUUGCCUCUUUGCCAGUAACAUGAGGGGACUCAAAGAUGGAAACUGCUAUCACCAUCAAGCCAUGAGACUUGAGAUGGAUCUUGAGUAUGCUAAAAGGCUGAGCAUAGAGCUGGCAUGGUACUCUGUGUGAAUGACUUCGUUUGAGUCCUGAAGCCAGUGCUGCUCCUGAUUUUCAGUGAUGUGACCCUUCCCCCAAUUCCUUUCAUGUCAAAGCCAGUUUGGGUGGACAUAUUCUGUCAUUUAGACAGGAGUCUAAACUGACUUAGAGCCGGCAGUCUUGGGCACAGGCAGAGAAAAGGCUGUUGAUACCGACCCAUGUGGCCCUUGAACAGAUUCACUUCCUAGUCAGAGUCAGUGCAAUUCAAAGCUGGUCCACCUUGCUGGCCUCAGGAAUUGCCACAGUCCCCAAACCUAGCACCUGACAUAACCUCACAGGUUACAUUUCCCCACCACUCGGGCUUUUAGGCCAAUUCUCUUCCUCUGAACUGUUCUCUAGGAAAGGCUUAGUUAAUUCACUCACCCUAAAGAAUGCAUGACUCAUCUUAAGUGUUAAAAUAUGUGCAUUUCAAAGGGACACAAAGUAUACAAUAGUGAAUGUAUUUCUAGUGGUGGGCUUUUGUUGGCACUAGAGAAAAUGUGAAAUUUUUCAAGUUGUUCUUGUUCAUAGCAUUUUUAAAAGCCCUUUUCAUUGCGGACAAAUGGGUUUUUCUGUGCCUAUAUAAUGCCACCAUACUGUACUUUUACAAUCAGUAAUGAGUAUAACUACCCACACGGGGCUUCACAGCCUGUCCUACUUCUAUGUAGAAAAAGUACCUUCAGAAACAUGAAGGGAAAAUUGCCAUGCCAAUAGUAAUCAAACAUGUAUAUGCUUCAUAUCAUAGGCAUUGCUCUAAGUACUUACAUAUAACAUCUAAUCAAAUCUUCAGCAUCAGUACUCUGCAAAGUAGCCAUAUUAUGAGGCUUAUGUUAAAGUUGAGGAACUUGAGGUGCAGAGAAAUUAAACAACCUAAUCAAGGUAGCACUGUGACCAAGCUAAAGAAAACAGCCAAUCUCAAAUCCCUCAGAAUCACUGAGGUAGUGACCAAGCUCAAAUCCCUCAGAAUCACUGAGGUAGUGACCAAGCUCAAAUCCCUCAGAAGCACUGAGGUAGUGACCAAGCUCAAAUCUCUCAGAAUCACUGAAGUAGUGACCAAGCUCAAAUCCCUCAGAAUCACUGAGGUAGUGACCAAGCUCAAAUCCCUCAGAAUCACUGAGGUAGUGACCAAGCUCAAAUCCCUCAGAAGCAGUGAGGUAGUGACCAAGCUCAAAUCCCUCAGAAGCAGUGAGGUAGUGACCAAGCUCAAAUCCCUCAGAAUCACUGAGGUAGUGACCAAGCUCAAAUCCCUCAGAAGCAGUGAGGUAGUGACCAAGCUCAAAUCCCUCAGAAGCACUAGGUUAGACUUGUCUUUAGUUUUCCUUGAUUCCCAAGAUGCCUAAUGAAAGCAUUGUUUUAGAAUCAUAAUGUUUGGAAGCCAAUUGAAGUACCUGGUACAUCAUAAAAAUGAGGCGAAGGGAUUAAGGGGACAGUGCUGUUUGUAAAAUGAUUGCCAUCUAAGCUGAGGCUUUGAGUUUAGAUUUCAUGUGGAAUGUCGGGUGUGGCAGCACACAUCUGAAAUCCCAGCUGUGGGGAGGUGGAGACAGGAACAUUCCUAGGAUUUGCUAGCCAGCCAGUAGGGCUGAAUUCAUAAACUCCAGCUUUAGUGAAAGAACCUGUCUCAAAAAUUAAAGAAUAGUACAAGUGAGAAUGACAUUUGAUGUCAAGCUCUGAUUUCCACAUGCACACAUGUACAUAUAUACUUUUACACAGUGCACAUGCAGGACAGGCACACAUGUGUGUAUACGCUCUUACACGGAGCACACGCAGGACAUGCACACAUGUACAUAUAUGAUCUUACACAGGACAUACACACAUGUACAUAUUUUCUUCUUCCCUUCUUUCCCUUUCCCCAACCCUUUCUCUCUCUCUCAACCUAGAUUUUGUUUUUUUUUCUAUUUUUUUGUGGAAAAUACUGAUAAUGUCUAAAUCUUAAAAGUAGACAUGUAAGACCAUAAAAGCUCUUCACUGUCAAAGAAACAAUGGUGUUGGGAAAAAUACCAAAAACAAUUUUGUAAUCCAAUCAGCCACUAAUAAGCCAACUCUUCUGGGUGUAGCACAAAGACUUCACAGAGAAGAAACUGUAGAAGCUGUCAUAGGAAGUCAGUGUAGGAAAGGGUCAUUUGGGUAUGGCAAGGAUGAGAACACAAGUAAGGACACGUGUGGGAGACGUACAGGGAAGAGGCUGAAGAACUUCGAGCCUGGAAGUGAGGCUGGGAUGACAGUCCAUGAUUUGGAGAAGUGUCUCCCAAAGGCCUGUGUGUUGAAUGCAUGGUCCCCAGACCACAACAUUACUGGGAGGGGAUAUAACCUCUAAUAGAUAAGAUCUAGUGGGAGGAAUUUCAGUAAUGGGAACAUGUCCUUGAAGAGGAUGUUAAGACCCUGGCCCCUUUUGCUCUCUUUGCCUGGCUGCCUCGAUAUGAGCAAUCUCUUCUGCCACAUGUUCCUGCCGUGAUAGACUAGCUAAGCAUAGACCCAAGUACAACACGAUAAAGUGAUUGUAAACAGCAACCUCCAAAAUCAUGAGACAGCAGCAGCACAAGAGAAACAAACUUUUCCUUCAUUACAAAUUGAUUAUGUCUUUUCACAGAGAUGGAAAGCUGACUAACAUGGAUGGGCAAAUAGGGACAUGAGAACUUAUUAUGCCAAGCUAAGGAAUAAUUUUUUUCUUUGUUUUGUUCAUGGCUGUUCUUCAUCAGUUUGAACUAGAAGUAAUAUUUAUGCUGGGUGGUGUUGGCACACACCUUUAAUCCCAGCACUCGGGAGGCAGAGGCAGGCCGAUCUCUGUGAGUUUGGGGCCAGCCUGGUCUACAGAGUGAGUUCCAGGACAGCCAGGGCUACACAGAAAAACCCUGUCUUGAAAAACAAAAAGAAAAAAGAAAGAAAAGUUUUAUAAACUCUACGGUGUUAGAUCUGGGUGGUUUAGAGCAGUUUUAGGUCCACAGCAGAAUAGAGGGGAAGGUAUGGAGGGCUCCGAUAUACUUCUUGCCCUCACGUAUAUAUAUCCUCCCUCAAGUUUGCUUGGGUCCUGGAAGGAGGGGUUGGAGGGUGUGGAAGGAAAAUGGAAGAGUUCCAGGGAGGCAGGUUUAGAAGCCAGUAGCAUCAGUCAGAGCAGAGCUCUCUGCGCAGCAGCAGAGUGGGGGCCAGAGGAUCAGGUACAUGAAGAGAUAAUAUUUGGAAAGGAGACUAACAAGGCAUCGAGCAUGAAUGAGAAGGAAAAGGCAAUUCAGCCUUUCUGGCCUUUGAGCUGGGAGACCGGUCAGGUAGUAAAGAUUCCUACUUCUUUUCUGCAAUUGGAGACAAGUGUGGAAGCUCACAUCUGUAAUCCCAGUUUUGUGAGAAUGGAUGAUCACCAGUUCUAGAAUGGCUUGGACUAUGAGUAAGAGAAUGUCCCAAGCCAAUCAAACAGAAAAGCAAAGAAUAACAGCAAUACAAAUCAGGGAUGUAGCUUGGUUGGUGGGUAGAGAGCUUGGUUAGCAUACACAAAGCUCUGGGGUAAAGCCCUAGUAAUGUAUAAACCAAGUGUGGUGGUGCUGUAACCCCAGCACUCAGGAGGUGAAGGGAGGGUCAGUAGUUCCAGGUCAUUCUUUGUCCAAGACCAGCUGGGAUGCUGGAGACCUUGCCUCAAAUCACAACAGCAACAACAAACUCAACAGUGAUAGUAAGCACCUACAGCAGAUGAAAUAGAAAGCUAAAGUCCCACCCCAUACCCAGCACUCCUCCCCAGGGCACAGUUAUCAAAGACACUCUGACACAUUUCUUCAGUUUUUGCUAUCCUCAUACUGAACUCAGUUGAUUUUCCAAACCCCAAAAGCACUUAGUUUGUAAAAACACCUCGUAGAGGCCUUGCACUUUUUAGAGAGGAUGUUUCCAGUUCACCACGUGCUUCAUGUCUCACUGGGUAAAGUUUCACGAGACCAAAAUAUUGCUACACAGUGCCCAAGUGUAAGGUGUGAGUAAUUAAAUUGAUAAAUCUUCUUUAUUGUCCCUUCUCCAAGAAUAUAGGUACAUUCAAACCCCAAAGUGAAAAAUAAAAUAUAUUCUCUUUGGUAUUCAAUGCCCUGGAAAUGCCAUCAGGCUUGUGUUUGUAUGUAUAUCAACUUGUAGUUGGGGAGUUAGUUACAGAAACUGUACUCUCUUGUGGUCUAGAUAAUAUCACUUCUGCAAAUUAAAAAUAAGGAAUAUGUUACAGGGACAUGAAGAGACAACACUGAUUGCAUGUGAAGUCAUGGUUGAACAGCAUCCUCUCUACCAUGCACUUGUGUUUAUACACACACCCCACAUACACACAAUAAAAGCCAAUACAAAUUUCAGAGAAAAGAGGCAUGCUUUUUUAUGGCACUACAAUAAAUUGUGAUGCUCACAGUAAUUUGUGAUAUACCUCCAGAGAAUUCACUGGUUGGGAGUGAUUACCACUAACUACAAUACAAUAAAAUUCUAACUCUUUUGCAGAAAAAAAGAAGCUUGUAUCAAAAGAUACAAAACAUCAUGAAAGAGUGGUACUUUGGACAAAAAAAUUGUUAAAAUUUUAAGUCUUAUGUUUAAUACUUUUUAGCUUCAAGUAAAAAUAAAUUAUUUAAUAUGUAGCAA